rnacentral:rRNA from 1 species
AUUGAACGCUGGCGGCAGGCCUAACACAUGCAAGUCGAGCGAGCGGCGGACGGGUGAGUAAUGUAUGGGGACUGCCCGAUAGAGGGGGAUAACUACUGGAAACGGUGGCUAAUACCGCAUACUAUCGGAUAACCCAUAUGGGAUUAGCUAGUAGGUGGGGUAAAGUCUCACCUAGGCGACGAUCUCUAGCUGGUCUGAGCGGAUGAUCAGCCACACUGGCACUGUGACACUGCGCAGACUCCUACGGAGGCAGCGGUGGAGAAUAUGGCACAAUUGUCGCAAGCCUGAUGCAGCCAUGCCGCGUGUAUGAAGAAGUCCUGAGGGUUUUAAAGUACUUUCAGCGGGUAGGCGUUACGCGCAGAAGAAGCGCCGGCUAACUCCGUGCCAGCAGCCGCGGUAAUAC